AGUUAUUUUUUCUUCCGUCAGGUGGUUCUGACGCCAAUCCAUAAUUCAAGGCCGACGAACUCCAACGCGGCCAUGGAUUAAACUAUAGGUGAAUCAUAACAAUACCAGCUAACCUUGGAUUGGAAUUCAAAAACACAAAACAAGGCUGGCUGCUAAUCAAUCAGGGCAAGGUUAAAGAAAAAUGUAGGCAAAUUUUAAAGAAUGUAGUAUAUAAUCCUUUGAUUGUAAAUUAUUUUCCCUACUACGUAAAGCUGGUACAAUAGCAGUACGGUUUUUUAUAUACCGAAAAGCAUUCAUUCAUCAUGGAGUCCAGGAUGAUUUACGAUGUGAUGGUAGAACAUUGCUGGAUUAUCACCCUAUAAUUCUUGAAACUACAUUAGUUUCCAAUGCCAGUGAAUCGGCAAGGCUGAGACUUGCAAACUCAUCAACAUCUGGAAAAUGAAAUUUGCAAAUUCCUACGAAGAUCCUAUGCUUCAGCUGAUGUGAUAUUUCCACCAGUCCUGAUGUAUCAACACUGGUGCAGAGUCUACGACAAGCCAUGGCCCUUGAAGCUAAAUUCCAACCAAAGCUUCAACUUCUGUCAACACUCAACAGCCAGCAAUACAGGAGAAAGCGGUGAAAUUAUGUGUGCAAUGAGGGAUAGAGCUGCUCAUGUUCUUCGCUGCAUGAAAGUCUGGUAUGAUCUUCCUUAUGCAGUUCUUCUGGAUGCUCUCAACAUGAUGGACUGGUUCAUGAGCCGCAUGAAAGCACUCCUAAACACCUCUCAUGCAUAGCAAUCAGCUCCUUCCAUCUAGCAGCUUGCCAAUGGAUGGAGACGAUUAAACAGAACAACGUUGAGGUAUCUUCCAUUCAGAGUCCAUUGUAGAUUGUUCCUGAACCUCAAUAUCUGGUAACGAUAUCUUAAUGUAAAUGUACCGCCGGAGACAUCAACCGGAUGGAAAAAAUUGUCGAAGCCAAGUUAGCUUGUCUACCCCAAGAAGAACCGGUCACGACCUUAACAUUCCUCAACCUGUAUCACUCACUUCUCUCGACGACUUUACCUGCCACUCUUCAGCAAGACCUUCUUAUUCUUUCAUGCAAGCAGGAGACCAUUUGCUGUGACGCAAAAUAAUGCUGCCUUUCCCUCAUCUCUUUUGGCUUUCGUCCUACUGUUUGUCGAAAUGAAGUGUCACCAGCCGGCCAUCGAGGUUAUUAUCAGAGACGUUUUACUAGAACUUCAGCGACUUGUUCAGGUCAAAGAUGACUAGUUGAAGGAGUGUAUAAGAAUGGCCACUUCGGCAAUGGCACCUUACGAUGGCUAUGCCCAAAGCAAUCCGUCUCAUCGUCAACGACUUACCUGGAAGUUGUCCUUUUUCUACUAUUUCUUUGCCUUCUAAACCAUUUAUAAUAAGUUUUGCCUUUA